GACGAACGCUGGCGGCGUGCUUAACACAUGCGAGUCGAACGGAAAGGCCCUGCUUUUGUGGGGUGCUCGAGUGGCGAAAGGGUGAGUAACACGUGAGUAACCUGCCCUUGACUUUGGGAUAACUUCAGGAAACUGGGGCUAAUACCGGAUAGGAGCUCCUGCUGCAUGGUGGGGGUUGGAAAGUUUCGGCGGUUGGGGAUGGACUCGCGGCUUAUCAGCUUGUUGGUGGGGUAGUGGCUUACCAAGGCUUUGACGGGUAGCCGGCCUGAGAGGGUGACCGGCUACAUUGGGACUGAGAUACGGCCCAGACUCCUACGGGAGGCAGCAGUGGGGAAUAUUGCACAAUGGGCGGAAGCCUGAUGCAGCAACGCCGCGUGCGGGAUGACGGCCUUCGGGUUGUAAACCGCUUUCGCCUGUGACGAAGCGUGAGUGACGGUAAUGGGUAAAGAAGCACCGGCUAACUACGUG
rnacentral:rRNA from 1 species